rnacentral:rRNA from 1 species
GAUGAACGCUGGCGGCGUGCCUAAUACAUGCAAGUCGAGCGAACAGACGAGAGUGCUUGCACUCUCUGACGUUAGCGGCGGACGGGUGAGUCACACGUGGGUAACCUACCUAUAAGACUGGGAUAACUUCGGGAAACCGGAGCUAAUACCGGAUAAUAUUUAGCUUCGCAUGAAGCAAUAGUGAAAGACGGUUCUGCUGUCACUUAUAGAUGGACCCGCGGUGUAUUAGCUAGUUGGUGAGGUAACGGCUCACCAAGGCAACGAUACAUAGCCGACCCGAGAGGGUGAUCGGCCACACUGGGACUGAGACACGGCCCAGACUCCUACGGGAGGCAGCAGUAGGGAAUCUUCCGCAAUGGACGAAAGUCUGACGGAGCAAUGCCGCGUGAGUGAAGAAGGUGUUCGGAUCGUAAAACUCUGUUGUAAGGGAAGAACAAGUACGUUAGUAACUGAACGUACCUUGACGGUACCUUACCAGAAAGCCACGGCUAACUACGUG